CCUACGGGUGGCAGCAGUGAGGAAUAUUGGUCAAUGGACGAGAGUCUGAACCAGCCAAGUAGCGUGAAGGAUGACUGCCCUAUGGGUUGUAAACUUCUUUUAUAAAGGAAUAAAACGAGGCACGUGUGCCUUUUUGCAUGUACUUUAUGAAUAAGGAUCGGCUAACUCCGUGCCAGCAGCCGCGGUAAUACGGAGGAUCCGAGCGUUAUCCGGAUUUAUUGUGUUUAAAGGGAGCGUAGAUGGGUUGUUAAGUCAGUUGUGAAAGUUUGCGGCUAAACCGUAAAAUUGCAAUUGAUACUGGCAUUCUUGAGUACAGUUGAGGUAAGCGGAAUUCGUGGUGUAGCAGUGAAAUGCUUAGAUAUCACGAAGAACUCCGAUUGCGAAGGCAGCUUACUAAACUGCCACUGACAUUGAUGCUCGAAAGUGUGGGUAUCAAACAGGAUUAGAUACCCCAGUAGUC
rnacentral:rRNA from 1 species